ensembl:lncRNA
AAAAAGCCUCUUUUUCAAUUUUCUUUUUCAGUCCACAUUUGAGCUUACUUUGAAGAAGACAUGACUUCUUACAGUUUCUUUUUGCAGCUGUGGGAAAGAGCACUGAAAGUCGGCUCUGAACUUUUUCUGAAAGCAGGCAGAAUUCUGCUCAUUCUCAUGUACUAUGGGAAAAAAGAAGUUCAAAGAUGUGCAACUUGGAGCCAUAUUUCCUGUUCUUCUUUCUUUAGUUUCUCAAGAUUGUGGCUGCUGAGGCAAGCACACAUCACAAAAAACACUGCUGAGAUACCUUUGGCUGUUUCUGGGGAGCAUCAUGUGAGCUAAUAAACUGGCCUUCCAGUUUGUCUGAAAUCAGUAAAAUGAAUGAUGUGUUAAGAAAAUAUGUUCUUGGUGACUGCUGUAGAGAGGUAGCUGUAUUCUGGUGGGUGUGAAGCUUACCUUACUGCUGAGGUGUUUGUGUUUAAGGUAGUCCAAAGGAAUGAUACAGAGAAGGAAGUUGCAAGGUCAGGGGAUUUGAUCAGAACAUCCAAUCGAUCUGCAUUCUGCUUCGAUAUGACUACAGUAUACCUCUGUUUCACAAGGCUAAGCCUACAGCCUUAUGCCACCCAGAAGCUUUGUCCCAGUUGUCAGACCUAUCCUCAGAUCAUCAUCCUACCAAGUGACCUCUUUUGUGGAUGGAAGUAAGUGGACUAGAGAGCCUCUGAUGAAAGCAACAGCUGAGGAAGUGCUAUACUAAGAAAUCAGUUCUGCCUCUGUGGUGGUGAUAGUCUCUGUGAAGUUUGCUCAGUGCCAACAGUGAAUUAACACAGACCUAAUGAAUAAUUAAAGGACCUGAAUUCAUAACUGUUGUGAAUGCUUCACUGCUUAAAGCACUUUUUCAUUAAGGUUGAUUUUUACUCAAGAUCUCCACCUUAUCCUCUGAAUCCCUGAGAAUGAUGUGUUUGAUUAUGUCUCUCUGUACUAGUCAGAAAAUAUUCAGGCUUAGAUUUCAUCCACAACUCAACAUAAUGGUCUUCAGUAUAAACAGAGAUUAAGUUAAUUAGUUUAGAGAUCUGUUGUAGGUCUAGCCUUUCUUUAGCCCUUUUUCUUACAUCUCUUUACCUGACUUGUUCUCUUCCUGUUUAUUGUACCCUUGCAAGAAAGAGCACAACUCUUUGUGUUUAUUGUCCCUAUCAGUUUAAAUUACAGAUUUGACCUGACAUUAAACUGUUCCUUUUUUUUUGUACUGGAGGGAAAAAAAAUCUGAAACACCAUGUCAUAUGAUGAUAUCCUUCACUUUCGUUGAACCAUCUGGAGUUCUGGAGACAGAGCUGCAAACUGUCAACAUCUCCUGAUGGAAAGCAAAUAGAGUUGGCAAAAAGGGAAGUUUAAGCUGGAGAAUCAUCCUGUAUAAAGUUUAGAGCAGUUCAAUGCUGGAGGAAGGAAAUCAUUAUCUGUCAAAGAACUUCAUCCUGCCCCAAAGCCAUAGCACUAGGACAUUGCUAAUGCUGUUCCCUUGAAGAUUAUGCUCACAUGCUAGAUUUCAGUGGAAAACAGAGUUUGCGUUUAAUAUUUGGAAAGCUUUUGUUCCAAACAAGAGAAAGAGGUCUAAUCUUCCAUAUCUAAACUCCCUUAAUUGAAGGAAAUGAGGAGGACUAGCUGCUGCAUCUAUCACUCCCUUCACUAAUAAAACUGAUACACAUUUGACUUUAUAUUAUGCA